GGAGGACCGAACCCACUUGGGUUGAAAACCGAGGGGAUGACUUGUGGGGAGGAGUGAAAGUCUAAUCAAACGCAGGGAUAGCUCGUUCUCUCCGAAAUAGCUUUAGGGCUAGCCUUGAGCCACUACGCACCGGGGGUAGAGAUACUGAAUCGGGUUGGGGGUCUUCCCAGACUACCCUCCUGAACCAAACUCCGAAUACCGGUGCGACUAUCUCAGGAGUCAGUCCGCGAGGGAUAAGCUUCGCGGACGAGAGGGAAACAACCCAGAUCACCGGCUAAGGUCCCGAAUAUCGUCUUAGUCACUAAGGAGGUUCUGUUGCACCAGACAGCCAGGAUGUUGGCUUAGAAGCAGCCAUCAUUUAAAAAGUGCGUAACAGCUUACUGGUCGAGCAAUUCAGCGCCGAUAAUGAACGGGAGUAAGUCCUGCACCGAAGCAGUGGACGGCGCGCAAGCGCCGUGGUAGGAGAGCGCUGUAGAUCAGACACGAGUCGUACCGAAAGGAGCGAUGUUGGGGUCUACAGGUGAUUAUGCCGGAAUGAGUAACGAUAAAGCAGGUGAGAAUCCUGCUCGCCGAAAGCCUAAGGUUUCCUGGGGAAGGUAAGUCCGCCCAGGGUUAGCCGGUACCUUAGUCGAGGCCGAAAGGCGUAGACGAUGGAUAGCAGGUUAAUAUUCCUGCGCCGCUUGUGUGGAGCGAUGGAGGGACGGCAUCCGGAUGGCGAUCAGACGAUUAGAAAUGUCUGUAGGGCAAGCUGAGACAGCGGGAUUGGAAAAUCCGCCCGCAUACGUCAAGGUUUGAACUCGAGCGGUUCGUCCGCGAAGUCGUUGGAAGGAUGUCCAAGAAAAUCUUCUAAGCGUUGAAGCACAGCGACCGUACUAAAACUGACACAGGUAGGCGAGACGAGAAGUCUAAGGCGCUCGAGGAAACGAUGGUUAAGGAACUCUGCAAAUUGACCCCGUAAGUUCGCGAUAAGGGGUGCCCUUGGGGGUGCAAGCUCUUGAGGGCCACAGUAAAUCGGCACUAGCGACUGUUUAUCAAAAACACAGGUCUCUGCUAACUCGCAAGAGGAUGUAUAGAGACUGACGCCUGCCCGGUGCCGGUAGGUUAAGGAAGAGGGUUAGCGAAAGCGAAGCUCGCGACCGAAGCCCCGGUAAACGGCGGCCGUAACUAUGACGGUCCUAAGGUAGCGAAGUUCCUUGUCGGGUAAGUUCCGACGUGCAUGAACGGCGUAAUCACUGGAGCAGUGUCUCAAGGACCGACUCGGUGAAAUUGAAGUCGCGGUGAAGAUACCGUGUUCCCGCAGCAAGACGGAAAGACCCCGUGAACCUUCACUGCAGCCUGGUACUGAUAACUGGUACCACAUGCGUAGGAUAGGUGGGAGGCGCUGAUCCGCCGGUUCCGGCCGGCGGGGAGCCAACGUUGAAAUACCACCCUUGUGUUAUUAGUUAUCUAACCCCGUCCCGUGAAUCCGGGCGGGGAACAGUGCUAGGUGGGCAGUUUGACUGGGGCGGUCUCCUCCGAAAAAGUAACGGAGGAGUGCAAAGGUCGGCUCAGCACGGUUGGCAAUCGUGCGGCGAGUGCAAGGGCACAAGCCGGCUUAACUGCAAGACUUAAUAGUCAAGCAGAUGCGAAAGCAGGCCCUAGUGAUCCGGUAGUCCCGUGUGGAAGGGCUAUCGCUCAUCUGACAAAAGGUACUCCGGGGAUAACAGGCUGAUCGCCACCGAGCGUCCAUAGCGGCGUGGCGGUUUGGCACCUCGAUGUCGGCCCAUCGCAUCCUGGGGCUGAAGGCGGUCCCAAGGGUUCGGCUGUUCGCCGAUUAAAGCGGUACGCGAGCUGGGUUCAGACCGGCGUGAGCCAGGUCGGUCCCUAUCUGCUGUGGGCGUAUGAGUCUUGAAGGGCCAUCACUCUAGUACGAGAGGAUUGGGUGGUACGGGCCUCUGGUGUACCUGUUGUCGCGCUAGCGGCACGGCAGGGUAGCUAAGCCCGGACUGGAUAAACGCUGAAGGCAUCUAAGCGUGAAGCCGUCCCUAAGAUGAGGACUCGGUGCUCCCCUUCGGGGUGAGCUGAAGACCCCUGGUAGACCACCAGGUUGAUAGACCGGGUGUGUACGAGCUGAGAAGCUCUUAGCUAACCGGUACUAACGGUCGAAGGCUUGACC
rnacentral:rRNA from 1 species